rnacentral:rRNA from 1 species
CAGCCGCGCGGUAAUACGAAGGGUGCAAGCGUUAAUCGGAAUUACUGGGCGUAAAGCGUGCGCAGGCGGUUCGCUAAGACAGAUGUGAAAUCCCCGGGCUCAACCUGGGAAUGGCAAUGGAUACUGGCAAGCUAGAGUGUGUCAGAGGAUGGUGGAAUUCCCGGUGUAGCGGUGAAAUGCGUAGAGAUCGGGAGGAACAUCAGUGGCGAAGGCGGCCAUCUGGGACAACACUGACGCUGAGGCACGAAAGCGUGGGGAGCAAACAGGAUUAGAUACCCGCGUAGUCCCUGUCUCUUAUACA